AUCUUUGCAGUGAUGUAAAAAUAAAUCUCUGAACAUAUGAAUACAAUUCUUAUUUCAGCAUUUAACUGUGAUAAGUU